GCCUAACACAUGCAAGUCGAACGAUACCUUCGGGUCUAGUGGCGCACGGGUGCGUAACGCGUGGGAAUCUGCCCUUAGGUACGGAAUAACUCAGGGAAACUUGUGCUAAUACCGUAUGAUGUCGAGAGACCAAAGAUUUAUCGCCUAGGGAUGAGCCCGCGUAGGAUUAGCUAGUUGGUGGGGUAAAGGCCUACCAAGGCUACGAUCCUUAGCUGGUCUGAGAGGAUGAUCAGCCACACUGGGACUGAGACACGGCCCAGACUCCUACGGGAGGCAGCAGUGGGGAAUAUUGGACAAUGGGCGAAAGCCUGAUCCAGCAAUGCCGCGUGAGUGAAGAAGGCCUUCGGGUUGUAAAGCUCUUUUACCCGGGAAGAUAAUGACUGUACCGGGAGAAUAAGCCCCGGCUAACUCCGUGCCAGCAGCCGCGGUAAUACGGAGGGGGCUAGCGUGGUACGGAAUCACUGGGCGUAAAGCGUACGUAGGCGGCUUUGUAAGUCAGAGGUGAAAGCCCACGACUCAAUCGUGGAACUGCCUAUGAGACUGCUACGCUUGAAGAUGGGAGAGGUCAGUGGAAUUCCGAGUGU
rnacentral:rRNA from 1 species